CAAAGUAAACUGCACGCUUUAGUUGUGAAGCAAAAACGCUGAAACCGGAAAAAUAAAACGUGCGAGGGGAACGAUAACAACGACAAGAGUCUCCCGAUCGUUUACUCUUGCUGUCCUGUGAACAACAUCGGCGUGGUGUUAAUUGUUUGCUGUUUUCGCGUCACGCAUGAGGAUAUCACCAGCAGCUCCUGAAACGCAAGACUGCCACACAUCUGUUCGACCAACGCCAGUUGAUCUGGAACACUGGGCACAAGAUUUGGCUAUUUUUAAGCCUCCACGUUGUGAAUACGCCGUCAUUCAAGCAAAGGUACUGCACUCUUAAAGACUGAAUUGCAGCAUUGCAGCCACAGGUCAUUGUGAGCAUCACAGGGAAGGUUGAAGCCGCCCACUGCACCUGUAUGGCCGGAGUCGUGGAGACCUGCACUCAUGUCGCUGCUCUUCAGUUUAAUGUAGAAGCAACAGUGCGGAUCUGUGGCACAAGGACUGUUACAGAUGAACCUGCAUACUGGGUUUUGCCUGGUAAUAUGACCAAGAUACAGCCAGAGGUUGGCUAUAAGAUAGACUUCUCCUCUUCAGCUGCCCAAAAAAAGGUUCUUGAUCAAAACAAACAGACCAUUCGUUGUGACAGGUAAAAGAAGCCGUCCUCAAAAAAGAAAAGUUCCACCUGCUACUGUGGAGGAGUUGGAUCAACUGAUGGGACAAUAUUUUUCCAAGCAUAGUUCUGUUCUGAAUAACCCAUAAUGUUUUAAUUUAGGGGGCCAUGUAAAUACUUUGCAUUUACUGAAUAUGUACUUACUAAGUACCA